rnacentral:lncRNA from 1 species
GCCGAAUUGGUCACCGUGAAAUUCUUCAAGGCUGUGUUUUCCAGCAACCAGAGCCAAAGGGCUCAGAGUGCAGACAAAGGAAGGGAGUUUGGGAGGAGAGGGAGGAGCUAGGACUUGGCAUGCCCUUUCGGCUCCCCACCAACACUGGGAUUUGCUGGAUGUUGGGAAAGUAUGGGGUGCGAAAAACCAUGUUGGCAUCAAACAGAGCUCGAGUUCAAGUCCGAUUCUAUCCUUUUCUGCCUGUGCCACCUUCAGGUACCUACUUAACUUCUCUGAAUGUCACUUUCCUCGUUGCUAAGUGGAAGUAAUUACGCCUGUGCCUUAGGGUUAUUGUAUUAAAUGAGACACACAGACAUGCCAGAAUGCCUGGCAUAUAAUAGGCAGUCAAAGGAUAUUAUUGUUUCUUUCGUGCCCAAGUAAUGGUAGUACUGGGAGGGUCAGGUGUAGACUUCUCCCAAAUUCUCGUGAUGACAGCGAGUCAUUAGCUGUAAUUACUUCGUAAAAACCUCUGACAGAGAAAAGUGCAGUACAGUUGGACGGGUCAAGAGAAAUCCCCACUUGUCACUUUAAGCUUUUUUCCUCAAAUGUGUUACCCAGUGAAUUGUAUCUAUUCUCAUUAACUAUUCUGUGGCUCUUUCUCUAGUGGGGGAAAGCGCAUCGCUUCAGCUCACAGUGCAUUCAUAUCUCUGAACACAAGACGUAUGAGGGGCAGUAGCUAUUUCUCACCACUCCCUGGAUUUUGAGGAUAAACAAGAUAAGGGGAACAUUUCUUAGAUGUUAGUGGUCAAACGGAUAAGGCCUUUGCCUGCGGACUUCAUCAUAAAAAUCCAUUUCUUGAUGAAAGGCACUUACAAAGACCAGCCUCCUGAAAUACCACAUGACAAAUUUACAGAACUCUAUGGUUUUGCGAUUCCUUGCAUCUACUCAUCCAUGGGGAAGAAACGUGCACAUUCAAAAGCAGCUCCUGGCCACCGUGCUCCAUGCUCCAAACCCUGUGUGUGGCUUUUGUGGCAGUGCCACAUCAUGGGCCGUCAGGGAUGCAGUUAUUCUUCCUCAUGAGGGAGUGCUGAGGACCACUGACCACUGUGAACCCUUUUCCCAGCCAGCAGUCUUCGUUUUCCCUUUGUGUGAUUUUCUGUCACGAUAAAGAAAGAGUUUUCACCUUGUUGCAGAACAAUUAGCACCAUGACUUUGUUUCACAAAUUACAGAACUAAUAGAAAUUUGGGCAGUUUUUUUUUUUUUCCAUCUCUGCCUUGUUUCAUGCUGCUUUACCUAUCAUCUCUGGGGCCUCAAGGAGCCAUAUUAUGAUCCUAUAGAUCCUGGAGCCCGUCGGACUUUGUCUUCUAGCUCAAGUGUUGAAGACUCCAGUGCAGGGAAAGGAGAUGGGUGCAGGUGUAAUCAGAGAGACAGGCUGUUUCUGUAAUUUGUGAGAACUGUCAGAUAUAUAAUUAUAAAUAUAAGGUGCAAGAAGAUGAGAUUAAGAUGCUAUUUGGGGAAAAAGAAAAUCCAGUUAAGGUAUCCCCAGUUUCCAAAGGGAAUAUAUAUUGCCAGAGUAAAAUAAUGGGCAAGAAGGCAGUUUUCGUUAUGCUGUGGCCUUGGCCCCAAACACAAUGCAGAACUCCAUUGCACAGAGACAUAAUCUGCCUGCACCAAGGGCAGGCUUAGGAUCUCUUACCAGUGCAGUUUUGAGGGGAGGGAAUCACUGGGAUUCCCACCCCUGAGUCUCAGAUCUCCCUGCUUGAAUGGCAAGGGUCUGAGGCAACUCUAGCACCAGCUGCAGCCGCUGUGAGGCUCACUCUUCCCACUGUCUCAGCACUGCGAAAUGGUUCUAAAAAGAGAGAAGGCAGCCAAAUGAAACAGAGACGCCUGGGUUUUUGGCGUGUCUCUGCCUUGCCUCUCAAGAUUAUGGAAAAACAGCGUCAGAAGGCAGAAUGGAUAUUUAUGCAUACAAUCUCUAACUCUUUUGAAAGAUAGGCACCCAAGGGCAAUAGUCAGAUUCAUAGAAAAACUCCUCCCCCGUGAAGAUGAGCUGAGCACAGGGUCUGCAAAACAACGUACGUGUAGGUAAGCUCGUCACCAAUUUUACUCAUGUAACGUAGAGCAUUCCGUUUAUAAAUAAUAAAAUAUACAAUACUUUGGUUAUGAAUUCUGUA